GCAACAUGGUUUCCCGCUAGUGCGAGAGGAAAUAGCACUUUUCUAUCAUUCAUUCGUCUGAGCCAGAAGCGAUUCAGAAGUUUGAAAAAGUAAAGGAAAUCGCAACAGUGAGGUUUACAUUCUGAUCUAAGAAAAACUGCAUGUUUCUUUUUCUUGUGUUUGAAGUUGUAGGGAGAUGAUAGAUUGCGAUUAUUGCAUCCACAUUUCAGUUCAAUUCACGCCUUAGUUUCCAUUGGUUUUAAAUGAUGGAAGAAAAAACUUCGAUCUUGUCGCCUACUUGUAGACACACAACAGCUUCUCUGUUCGCUUUCGCACUUCACCACUCUCAGAUUCGUCCAACAAAGACUACUUCUCCCGACUCUCAAACUCAUGACCCGGAUCUCUGGUUUAACCAGAACUCUCAUUUACUCUGCCCAAUUUUUAGGUUCCUCGAAGUGGAUGAAGACUCCUGGCAGGGCAUAAAGGAAACUGCCUGUUCCUCUUCUUUCAGACAUCACCUUGGAUCUUUGUUGACAUUGCUGUCAGAGGAAGGUGGUGAAUCAAAGAAAGAAGCUGAGUUGACCAAAGCUGUUGAUGCCUCGGCUUUGAGCUUGAAUGAUACUUCUACUACCCAUUCUCCAAGUGGACAGAAAACUGGGAGCCAGGAUGAUAUGUGUGACAGUACGGAGAGCUCAGCUAUGCUGUUUGAAAAGAAAAAAGUUUCUGGGACACUAGAAAUCGCAACGUUUGAACAAUCUUUGGAGGAGGCAACCCGUAUUGGUUACCAGAGGAAAGUGACAGUUCUGUACACACUAGUUGCGGCUUGUGUGGCAGACACUGACAAGUCAAGGCAGGGCUACGAUGCUCGUCACCGUGUGGCUCUGCGGUUGCUUUCUGUAUGGCUUGGUGUCAAAUGGAUUGAAAUGGAAGCAAUGGAGGCUAUGGUUGCUUUUUCUAUAAUGAAUUCAGCGAGUAAAGAAGGUGCUAAGGAAGAAGAAUCUGUAGGUUCAGAAACUAGCCAGGAUAAAUGGAAGCGUGGAAGUAUCAUAGGAGCAGCUGCUAUAACUGGAGGAGCCUUAAUGGCUGUAACUGGUGGCUUGGCUGCCCCGGCAAUUGCUCAUGGAUUGGGUGCUUUGGCUCCUGCGCUAGGCAGUCUUGUUCCUGCCAUCGGAGCUAGUGGAUUUGCAGCUGCCGCAACUGCUACAGGAUCUGCUGCUGGAUCUGUGGCUGUGGCUGCAUCAUUUGGAGCUGCUGGAGCUGGCCUUACUGGUAGUAAGAUGGCAACAAGAAUUGGAAGUCUAGAGGAAUUUGAGUUAAAAAGUGUUGGAGGCUGUAAUGAAGGCCACCUAGCAGUUAGAAUCUCCAUUUCUGGGCAAGUAUUUACGGAGAAAGAUUUCGUAGAACCUUGGGAAGGUCUCAAUGAUAACAUGGAGAGGUACGUGCUCCAAUACGAGUCUAAAAAUUUGAUUGCACUGAGCACAGCGGUCCGGGACUGGCUUACUUCACAGGUUACGAUUCGGUUGAUGAAAGAUGGUGCCAUGAUGACAGUAUUGAGCUCACUAGUUACAGCACUAGCAUGGCCAACAACUUUACUUGCCACAUUUGAUAUUAUUGACAGCAAAUGGGCAAUUGCAGUGGACAGAUCAGACAAGGCUGGUAAGGUGCUUUCUGAAGUGCUGUUAACAGGCUUGCAAGGAAACAGGCCUGUGACACUAGUAGGUUUUUCAUUGGGAGCCCGCGUUAUUUUCAAAUGUCUCCAAUUUUUGGCUCACGCCGAUGGAGACCAUGCUGGAAUAGUUGAAAAGGUUGUUUUGCUUGGAGCACCCAUCUCAAUUUCGGACGAAAGCUGGGAGAAGGCUAGACAGGUGGUGGCCGGAAGGUUUGUGAAUGCAUACUCUUCCAAUGACUGGACGUUAGGUGUAACUUUCCGUGCUAGUUUACUCUCUAAAGGAUUAGCUGGAAUCCAACCUGUUAACGUUCAUGGCAUUGAGAAUGUUGAUGUGACACAUGUUAUAGAAGGCCACUCUUCCUACCUUCAGAUGACACUGAAAAUACUGGAGGAGCUUCAAUUGGACAAUUGUUGUGCUGUUUUAAGCACGGGAGAAGUGAAUCCAGAGGAAAAAAAGAGUGCCAUGUGAUGAGUGGAGAGCACUGUCUGGCAGUGCAUUAUUGUCCAUCGCGGGAAGUAAACAAAAGGAAACAGACAACAAAAGCUUACCAUUACAGAGGUUAUCCUAAAUAGAAUAUGAUGGUGGCAGUUCAUUAUUGGAAAGCAACAAGGCAAAGGGGGUCCAAUUUGCAGCGUUAGUGGGAGAGGUUUGGGAACAAACGGGCUUCGCUGCUUUCGAGGUACUACAAUACAACGUAUAUCACCAACUGGCUCUCAAGUGGGGACAAAGUGAGGACUAAGACAUUUCUCUUAGUGGGGUCCCACAGUGUUGAGUUGUUCAUCCAACAUCCUAAUAAAAUUGUCACAACCAUAUGUCUAUAUAUGUAUAAGUCGUAUUGUGCUUUAUGUGUAGUACAAAAUUUUGUUUUGUGUAGUUUGUGAAGUUGAAGAUGGAGACUUCGAGAACGAGUUCUCGGGUCUUCUGUCUAAUCCUUGCACUGUUGACGACAAUUGUUGGGCUCAGAUGUGACGAUUUGAAAAAUGGAAACGACUCUUCAAGUCAUAGUCAUAGUGAAGGCAACAAUGCGACAUUUGUAACCUUCCCUAGUCAAGGGAUAAAUGCAGAAGUGAAAGGAAAACACAACAGUUCCUACGACAGUAAUGGUAAAGUUCACGUCAAGAACAGCUUGUAUUAUGGAGGAGGAGGAGGAGGAG